rnacentral:rRNA from 1 species
AAAGGUGGUUAGUACUAUUUACAUAUCUAAUGACUUUAUAAUUUACUAUAGAAAAGUGAAAUUUGAACAUAGAUAAAUAAACCAAAAAUGGUCACAAGGUGCUGAAUCCACUAUAGCUUUGAGGGAAACUGGGAUUUGAUACCCCAUUAUUCUUAGUUGUAAAUAAAUACCAGAUUUACCGGAGCACUAUGAAUGCUUAGAAAAUUUAAAACUCAAAGAGCUUGGCGGUGUUUUAGACCACUUAGGGGAACCUGUCUCAUAAUCGAUAAUCCGCGAUACACCUGACCUUUUAUUGCAAUCACAGUUUGUACACCGUUGUCAUCAGGUAACUUUUUAGAAAAAUUAAGUUAGCAACAAAAUUACAAUAAAUUUAAAUGUCAAAUCAAGGUGCAGCCAAUUAAAAGGAGAGGAUGGGUUACAAUUAAAAUUUAUAAAAUGGAUCCGAUAGUGAAAUAUAUCUGUAAAGGAGGACUUAAAAGUAAAAUUGUCUAUAAAAAUAAUUUGAAUUAGGCUCUGAAAUGUGUACAAACCGCCCGUCGCUCUCGUUGAAAAACGAGAUAAGUCGUAACAUAGUAGGGGUAAUGGAAGUUGUUCCUGAGCUA